UUAAAAUGAUACUUCUUCUAACAUUGCUGCACUGUUGGCAACAUUGCUGCACUGCUGGCAACAGUGCAGCAAUGUUAGAAGAAGUAUCAUUUGGAA
rfam:Strigamia maritima strain Brora ctg7180001044735, whole genome shotgun sequence.